rnacentral:ncRNA from 1 species
AUAUGAUAAGAGUAAACCUGUCGAAAGACAGGGACACAAAGCCACGGGUCUAAAGUAAUCUAACCAUGAUAGCCGGGUUGCCAUA